GCCGCGGCGAUAGCUCAGUGAUAAAAGCGCCAUGUGAGAAGGUGGCGAUAACUCCGAAUUAUCCGCGCGGGUUCGAAUCCCACCUGUGGUA